AUUGAACGCUGGCGGCAGGCCUAACACAUGCAAGUCGAACGGUAGCACAGAGAGCUUGCUCUCGGGUGACGAGUGGCGGACGGGUGAGUAAUGUCUGGGAAACUGCCUGAUGGAGGGGGAUAACUACUGGAAACGGUAGCUAAUACCGCAUAAUGUCGCAAGACCAAAGAGGGGGACCUUCGGGCCUCUUGCCAUCAGAUGUGCCCAGAUGGGAUUAGCUAGUAGGUGGGGUAACGGCUCACCUAGGCGACGAUCCCUAGCUGGUCUGAGAGGAUGACCAGCCACACUGGAACUGAGACACGGUCCAGACUCCUACGGGAGGCAGCAGUGGGGAAUAUUGCACAAUGGGCGCAAGCCUGAUGCAGCCAUGCCGCGUGUAUGAAGAAGGCCUUCGGGUUGUAAAGUACUUUCAGCGGGGAGGAAGGUGUUGUGGUUAAUAACCGCAGCAAUUGACGUUACCCGCAGAAGAAGCACCGGCUAACUCCGUGCCAGCAGCCGCGGUAAUACGGAGGGUGCAAGCGUUAAUCGGAAUUACUGGGCGUAAAGCGCACGCAGGCGGUCUGUCAAGUCGGAUGUGAAAUCCCCGGGCUCAACCUGGGAACUGCAUUCGAAACUGGCAGGCUAGAGUCUUGUAGAGGGGGGUAGAAUUCCAGGUGUAGCGGUGAAAUGCGUAGAGAUCUGGAGGAAUACCGGUGGCGAAGGCGGCCCCCUGGACAAAGACUGACGCUCAGGUGCGAAAGCGUGGGGAGCAAACAGGAUUAGAUACCCUGGUAGUCCACGCCGUAAACGAUGUCGACUUGGAGGUUGUGCCCUUGAGGCGUGGCUUCCGGAGCUAACGCGUUAAGUCGACCGCCUGGGGAGUACGGCCGCAAGGUUAAAGCUCAAAUGAAUUGACGGGGGCCCGCACAAGCGGUGGAGCAUGUGGUUUAAUUCGAUGCAACGCGAAGAACCUUACCUACUCUUGACAUCCAGAGAACUUUCCAGAGAUGGAUUGGUGCCUUCGGGAACUCUGAGACAGGUGCUGCAUGGCUGUCGUCAGCUCGUGUUGUGAAAUGUUGGGUUAAGUCCCGCAACGAGCGCAACCCUUAUCCUUUGUUGCCAGCGGUCCGGCCGGGAACUCAAAGGAGACUGCCAGUGAUAAACUGGAGGAAGGUGGGGAUGACGUCAAGUCAUCAUGGCCCUUACGAGUAGGGCUACACACGUGCUACAAUGGCGCAUACAAAGAGAAGCGAACUCGCGAGAGCAAGCGGACCUCAUAAAGUGCGUCGUAGUCCGGAUUGGAGUCUGCAACUCGACUCCAUGAAGUCGGAAUCGCUAGUAAUCGUAGAUCAGAAUGCUACGGUGAAUACGUUCCCGGGCCUUGUACACACCGCCCGUCACACCAUGGGAGUGGGUUGCAAAAGAAGUAGGUAGCUUAACCUUCGGGAGGGCGCUUACCACUUUGUGAUUCAUGACUGGGGUGAAGUCGUAACAAGGUAACCGUAGGGGAA
rnacentral:rRNA from 1 species